UACGUAGGGUGCAAGCGUUGUCCGGAAUUACUGGGCGUAAAGAGCUCGUAGGCGGUUUGUUGCGUCGGCUGUGAAAUCCCGAGGCUCAACCUCGGGUCUGCAGUCGAUACGAGCAAACUAGAGUGUUGCAGGGGAGACUGGAAUUCCUGGUGUAGCGGUGAAAUGCGCAGAUAUCAGGAGGAACACCGGUGGCGAAGGCGGGUCUCUGGGCAGCAACUGACGCUGAGGAGCGAAAGCGUGGGGAGCGAACAGG
rnacentral:rRNA from 1 species